rnacentral:tRNA from 1 species
GAGGGUAUGGCUCAGUGCUUGAGUGUGUGCUUAGCAUGCAUGAGGUCCUGGGUGCAAUCCCCACUACCUCCA